rnacentral:rRNA from 1 species
GAAAUCCCAGAGCUUAACUCUGGAACUGCCAUCAAAACUUUUCAGCUAGAGUAUGAUAGAGGAAAGCAGAAUUUCUAGUGUAGAGGUGAAAUUCGUAGAUAUUAGAAAGAAUACCAAUUGCGAAGGCAGCUUUCUGGAUCAUUACUGACACUGAGGAACGAAAGCAUGGGUAGCGAAGAGGAUUAGAUACCCUCGUAGUCCAUGCCGUAAACGAUGUGUGUUAGACGUUGGAAAUUUAUUUUCAGUGUCGCAGGGAAACCGAUAAACACACCGCCUGGGGAGUACGACCGCAAGGUUAAAACUCAAAUGAAUUGACGGGGACCCGCACAAGUAGUGGAGCAUGUGGUUUAAUUCGAAGAUACGCGCAGAACCUUACCAACACUUGACAUGUUCGUCGCGACUCUAAGAGAUUGGAGUUUUCGGUUCGGCCGGACGAAACACAGGUGCUGCAUGGCUGUCGUCAGCUCGUGUCGUGAGAUGUUGGGUUAAGUCCCGCAACGAGCGCAACCCUCACUUUUAGUUGCCAUCAUUAAGUUGGGCACUCUGAAAGAACUGCCAGUGAUAAGCUGGAGGAAGGUGGGGAUGACGUCAAGUCCUCAUGGCCCUUACGUGUUGGGCUACACACGUGCUACAAUGGUAUCUACAACAGGAAGCAAGACUGCGAAGUUAAGCAAAUCCUUAAAAGAUACCUCAGUUCGGAUUGCACUCUGCAACUCGAGUGCAUGAAGCUGGAAUUACUAGUAAUCGUGGAUCAGCGUGCCACGGUGAAUGCGUUCCCGGGUCUUGUACACACCGCCCGUCACACCAUGGGAGUUGGUUCUACCUUAAGGCAAGGUUUUAAACCCUUGACCACGGUAU